UCUUAUUCCACUAAAGGUUGUAGGACCGAGAGGACCGGCUGGCCCAAUGGGCCCACCUGGAGAGCAGGGACCACGCGGAUCAAGAGGAGAAAAAGGAGAAAAGGGAAGUCCUGGUCCUCGUGGCAGAGAUGGUGAACCUGGCAUCCCUGGAAAUCCAGGACCCCCAGGACCUCCAGGACCCAAUGGACCCCCUGGCCUUGGCGGAGUAAGUUAUUACAGUUUUGGUUGGAU